rnacentral:lncRNA from 1 species
AUUUCUUCCUCGCUUGUGCUCCCUAUUAACUUAGCAAACGCCGCCUUCUUCACCUCCACUUUUCUUGGACUACAUCAUUCCACCACCAAUCACCCUGAUAUCUGCCUGAAUAGCCCUUGGCUACCCGAGCACAUCCCGUGCUACCUCCCUAACCAAGUUCGCCGUCUCUGACCACACAACAUCCGCUUCCCCCGAACUUCUCCAAGUUCCACCAUCAACUAACCUGCUCUCCAACUCCUGUGCUUUCUCCUUAGUCAAAGCACCACAUCUAAUAUGUGGUCUUCCCCGAGCACCCCUCCUCUUCCUCUUCACCCAGAGACUGACAUCCAUCACUAGGAGUCUAUGCCUCUCCAUCUCCUGUGCUUUCUCCUUAGUCAAAACACCCCAUCUAAUCCGCGGUUGUCCCCGAGCACCCAUCCUCUUCCUCUUCACCCAGAGACCGACAUCCAUCACUAGGACUCUAUGAAGAGUCGAAAGGGACUCUCCCGGAAUAACCUUGCACUCCUUGCACAAACCUUUAUCGCUCCUUCAGAGGAGGAGGUAAUCAAUCUGAGUCCUUGCCGCCGAACUUUUGAAGGUGACCAAAUGCUCCUCCCUCUUCUGAAAUUUCAAGUUCGCAAUCAUAAGCUCGGA